rnacentral:rRNA from 1 species
UACGAAGGGGGCUAGCGUUGCUCGGAAUCACUGGGCGUAAAGCGCACGUAGGCGGAUUGUUAAGUCAGGGGUGAAAUCCUGGAGCUCAACUCCAGAACUGCCUUUGAUACUGGCGAUCUCGAGUUCGGGAGAGGUGAGUGGAACUGCGAGUGUAGAGGUGAAAUUCGUAGAUAUUCGCAAGAACACCAGUGGCGAAGGCGGCUCACUGGCCCGAUACUGACGCUGAGGCACGAAAGCGUGGGGAGCAAACAGG